AAAGGGGCACAUCUUGCCAAGGUGUGCCCAAGGGGCAGGUUGGGUUGCUGUGAUGAUGGGUACACAGGGCCCUGCACACGGCUUUCCAGUCGGAGCUGCAAAAGGAGACACAAAAAUCACAGCUCAUUCCAAGAGGUGCCUGCAGCCAGCAGCACCCAGCAGCAUUGUCACCACUGCAAGCAGCCACUGACAGCCGACCUGAGAAUGAACAUGAGGGCCAGGGAGGAGGCAGCUCAGCCUGCAGCGUCAGCAGCGCAGUUCGGCAGAGCCUGCUAAUCGUCUUGCUCAAGUUUCAAACUCUGUUUACCAAAUGACCACAGAAGCGUUUUAACAACAAACACCUCAUUUGAAGGCCAAGAUGAAAAAUUUUACAUAAAAAAUUAAUUUU
ensembl:lncRNA novel transcript, antisense to MLYCD - OSGIN1 readthrough